UACAGAGGUCCCAAGCGUUGUUCGGAUUCACUGGGCGUAAAGGGUGCGUAGGUGGUGAGGUAAGUCGGAUGUGAAAUCUCCGGGCUCAACCCGGAAACUGCAUUGGAAACUACCUUGCUUGAGGAUUUGAGGGGGGAUUGGAAUACUUGGUGUAGCAGUGAAAUGCGUAGAUAUCAAGUGGAACACCAGUGGCGAAGGCGAAUCCCUGGAAAUACCUGACACUGAGGCACG
rnacentral:rRNA from 1 species